AAGACAACCCUGUCAACUCACAUAUUCAUGCAACCCUGCAUUUUUCAUUUUUUACUUUGAAUGUACUUUUUUUAACUCACUUGCGUUUUGACUUUGAAUCAAUAAACUUCAUUUCGUACUUUAAUAUCAAAAGCAAUAUUAUAGAACCGUUUUAUUUUAACCGGGAAUACUCCAUAAGGUACGACCUUCCAACAGGAAUGAAUGAAAAUUUUUAUUUAAAUGACAUGUUUUAUAUAUGUUUAUGAGAUAUACAUAUAGUAUAACCAAAAAUAGUCUUUAUAUAGCUCAAAUAAAGGUUUUAUCGUUUUUUUUUUAUAAAAAAAAGGCAAAAGAAAAAAUAUUUAGAAGAAAAUACAGAGCAGAUCUCGCAUUAUCAUAAAUUUAAGUCCGUUUUUAGCGAGCACAGAAAAUAUCAAUCGAAUGCGGCUAAUAUGCUUCAUAACAAAGUUUAAUAAUAACCUCAAAACAUUUAUUUCCAUUAUUCUCCAUCCCUUUAUAAUUAAAAAGCUGUUGCGCCCUUUUAUGCACUUACAUACAAACAUAUGUAUGUUUAUACGGUGUAACGAGGCAGUUUUUGUUGGUUUUGGCAAUAAGCCUAUGACUUAUGUCUCCGAAUUAUGAUUGGAAACUUUCUGAUUUUUUUACAUAUAGGAAUUUUCCACACCAAAUGUGUGUUAGGAAAUACUUAAAUUUGCCACACAAAUAUUUUUUACAAAAACCAGUAUUUAUUUUGAAAUGUUUGUAAGCUCCUGAAGCAGCGAAAAGUCGACGAUAGUCAAUAUAUUUAAUUAAUCAAUUAACACUUUGUUAUUUUUUAAUUAUUUAGAGUGUUAUUCCAUGAAAACAAAUACAUAUAUAAUUUUUGCUGAUCUCUGACCUAUACGCAGUUAUCUCAGGAGCGCUCUUAAACAGAUUUACUGCUUUGACUGUUUGCAUGCUUCAGUUGUAGUGCACAAAUUUCAUAAAAAAUAUUUUUAUAUUUUGCAACUUUUUAAAACAUCUCCAUCAGAGAAUCAGAAAUUUAAUUUAUUUCCGAAGAUAUAGCUGUUAUUAGUGACAAAACUACUAGAUAUUUAAGGCGAGUUUUCUUUUUCUAUAUAUAUAUAUAUUAUAUGUUACAUAUACUACAUAUAUGUACAUACAUAUCGCUGAUUUGCUGCAAGACCGGCAUAAAUCAAGAAACGUGAUUUUUGAGUUAAUGCUGCAGAAUUGUUCGUUAUAUCAUACUUCAUGUUGAGUGAAAAAUUCAUAUGAAUACCUCUUAUAUGCUCCGCUUAAGAAGAGGUGUAAGGUUGGAGUCACCGUGUAAGGUUGUAGUCAGUUGAAAACUUUAAACGCGUUUUCUGG